CAGCAGCAGCGGCAGCGACGGUGUUAAGGCUGGGAGGUGCAGUAGCCUAAACGGCAGGCGUGGAGGCGGCGGGAAUUAGCAACACAGCAGCAGCGACGGCGUUGGGGCUGGGAGGUGCAGUAGCCUAAAUGGCAGGCACGGCGGCGGCGGGAAUUAGCAACGCAGCAGCAGCGGCAGCGACGGCGUUGGGGCUGGGAGGUGCAGUAGCCUAAACGGCAGGCGUGGCGGCGGCGGG
rnacentral:lncRNA from 1 species